GCCCGCAUGGCUUAGUGGUAAAGCGUUUCACUCGUAAUGAAAAGAUCCUCGGUUCGACUCCGAGUGUGGGCA
rnacentral:tRNA from 1 species